GGCUCAGGAUGAACGCUGGCGGCGUGCUUAACACAUGCAAGUCGAACGAUGAAGCCAGCUUGCUGGUGGAUUAGUGGCGAACGGGUGAGUAACACGUGAGUAACCUGCCCUUAACUCUGGGAUAAGCCUGGGAAACUGGGUCUAAUACCGGAUAUGACUCCUCAUCGCAUGGUGGGGGGUGGAAAGCUUUAUUGUGGUUUUGGAUGGACUCGCGGCCUAUCAGCUUGUUGGUGAGGUAAUGGCUUACCAAGGCGACGACGGGUAGCCGGCCUGAGAGGGUGACCGGCCACACUGGGACUGAGACACGGCCCAGACUCCUACGGGAGGCAGCAGUGGGGAAUAUUGCACAAUGGGCGCAAGCCUGAUGCAGCGACGCCGCGUGAGGGAUGACGGCCUUCGGGUUGUAAACCUCUUUCAGUAGGGAAGAA
rnacentral:rRNA from 1 species